rnacentral:tRNA from 1 species
AGUAGAAUGGCUGAGUGAUAGGUAAUAGAUUGUAAAUCUAUAAAGGGGAUGAAUAAAAUCUCUUCUACUA